rnacentral:lncRNA from 1 species
CCCGCCUUGGCCUCCCAAAGUGCGGGGAUUACAGGUGUGAGCCACGGUGCCCAGCCAGUACUACACCAUUUUACAUCAGGGACUUGAACAUCUGUGGAUUUUGGUAUCUGUAGCGGUCCUGGAACCAAUCCCACGCACAUAGACUGUACAAAUGGCCCUUAAUCAUAUGAAAAAACAUUAACUCUCUCUCAAAUAUAACAAAAAUAUAAAAUUAUACCGAAAACCUAUUUCUUCCAUAUCAGAUUGGCAGACAUCCCAAACCAUAGCAAGACAACACUGGCAGGGUGGUGAGGUCACAGGCACUCUCACACAUCACAAACAAUACAACCUCUGGGUAGGGUAAUUAGGCUGUAUCUAUCAACAUUAUAAAAACCAGUAGCUUACAUCAUAAUGGGCCAAACUUCCUGAUAUAUUUUGAAAAAAACCCAAAACUCCUAGAAGUUAGGCAGAGAAAAAGACCAACACCCCAGUGGAAAAAGGGGCGUUAAAGCAGUUCACAGAAGAAGGAACUACAAAUGACCCUUAAUUGUAUGAAAUUGUUAGCUCUAACCAUUGCAUUUCUGGGAAUUUAUCCCACAGAUAUAUUUGCACCUAUAUGAAAUGACAUAUGUAUAUUACUCAUUGUAGCAUUCUCCAUAGUAGCAAAAUAUUGGAAAUAACGUUACUGCCUAUCAAUAGAAGACUGAUAGCCUAAAUUAUGGCACAUCCAUAUAAUACAAUACCAGAUAGCUGUAAAGAAGAAUGAAAACACUUUUUUUUUUUUUUUUGCGAUGGAGUCCACUCUGUUGCCCAGGCUGGAGUGCAGUGUCACAGUCUUGGCUCACUCCAACCCCUGCCUCCCAGUUUCAAGCGAUUCUCUUGCCUCAGCCUCCCAAGUAGCUGGGAUUACAGGUACACACCACCAUGCCCGGCUAAUUUUUUUGUAUGAGAACACUUUUUUGUACUAUUUUGGAAAGAACCACUAGAUGUACUAUUAAAAGAAAAAUGCAUAUACACCUACUAUGUACCCACAACACUUAAAAUUUAAAAUUAAAAAAAAGAAAAAUGCAAAGUUCCAAACAGUAUGUAUAAUAUGCUAUCUGCUAAUUAAAAUGCUAAAAGAAGAAGAAACAGUGGACAGCAAGAAUACACACAUUCAUGUUUGCUUAUAUAUGGGUAAAGAAACUCAGGAAAGUUACAGGAGGAGCUAAUAACAGUGGUUAAUUACAAUGGUAGAGGAGAGGCUUGGCAGAUAAGGGACUCGUUUGCAGAUAUGACUUUCCUUUGUGUACAUUUCUAUAUAUUAUUUUACUUCUUCUGAAAAUGCCACAUAAUUUGCAAUAAAUGAUUCACUCCUUAGCUCCAAAAGCAAGUCCUUUAUCAAAAUGCAAAUGUUCCAGAGGGAUGUAGCCAGAUUCUGUGGACCGCCGUCUUUUUCACCCUUAAGAAUCCGUCGCUAUGAUUUCUCUUCCUCUGCUUGGAGACCUUUAGAGAGCCAGCCUGCAGCUGCUCAGAGCAUUGACUACUAAACAGCUCACAGUUGCUAUUGCUGAAAAUGCCCGGUGGUUAUGCCUUGCCUGACCAGGGGUAGCCCACAGCUGAUGACAGGCCCCCUUGCCUCAAGGUGGGACAACUUCGGUGGUGCCAUUCAUAUCCAGAGCUGCCUGGAAUCAGGCCGAGGCUGGACAUCAGCCGACCCCGCAUCUUUGCUGAGUUUAUUCCUCUGCUGUACUUCCCUCGCUUCCCUCACCUCCUUCUUGGUUUCUCCUGAGAGCCUCCCUCAAUAAAUCACUUACCCCAGAAUCCUUGUCUCAGACUCCGCUUCUAGGACCCAACUUAAGACAUUCACAAAAUAAAUCACAUUGAUGGAAAACAGAUCCCAUUCUCCAAAAUGAAUAACCAGUAGGCACUUGUGACUAGCACAAGCAUCAGCAUAUCCACAUGGUGCUAAACUAACACCAACCCAAAGCAGAUAGUGCUGGGUGGACUCGGUACAAGUUAAUAGCUCAUGGGUCUCCAUCCCCAACACCUUCAGACCCAAGGCUCCAGGGCUGCCAGCCUGAGAACCCUAAGUCAUGAUUUUGGGCACUUUGGCUGGAUUUCCUAGCAACUGGCUGAGAGCAGGACAGGUAAACAGAGUUGGGAGGAGGAAGCAAAAAAGGCUAGAGUGGACAUCAGUUGACUUUGCCUGCCAUGGUAGAGACUUUCAGUCAUCCACCAUAAUCCAUCCCCAUUCUGCUGCACAGAAGUAUUGUGGCUGAGACACCUGCUUUUCUCCACCCCUCUAGUUAAUGUGACUAAAUUCUCCCUAUGGAAUGGGAAUGGAAGGGCCAUACCCAGGCCAGUGUCUUCAGGUAGGGGCUGUGACCCUUCCACACCUGUACCAGACACAAUCAUCAUCUCACUGGGUUUUGCCAGCUUUCAGGUCUAUGUGCUGAAAGCUGCUUACAGCUAACCUCUGCAGAUUUUCCUGGCACAGGAGGCAUGCUUGGCCAGUGCACAGGGCAAGUUGGAAGGGCCCUAAUGUCAGCAGCCUUCAACCAAUGAUGGAUGGAAAGUUGCAGACAGUGUCCUAUGCAUCUGCAGUGGGAUAACUCUGAGACGUGUGCUGUACUGCCUCCUAGAGGGCCCAGGGUGAUUAAGCACCAGUUACCCACAGCAGUAACUUCCUUGAUUCUGUUCCCCACAUGGGCACUUUUCUUCCUGUCACACCUCCCCAAUCCCCUGCAGAUACUUUCUGGGAUUGCUUCCUAAACAAUCCACUUGAACUUUUUUUUUUUUUCUUUUUUUUGACAUGGAGUAUUGCUCUUGUUGCCCAGGUUGGAGUGCAAUGGCACGAUCUUGGCUCACUGCAACUUCCGCUUCCUGGGUUCAAGCAAUUCUCCUGCCUCAGCCUCCUGAGUAGCUGGGAUUACAGGCGCCUGCCAUCACGCCUGGCUAAUUUUUGUAUUUUCAGUAGAGACGGGGUUUCGCCAUGUUGGCCACGCUGGUCUCAAACUCCUGACCUCGUGAUCUGCCCGCCUCGGCCUCCCAAAGUGCUGGGAUUACCGGCGUGAGCCACCGUGCCCAGCCCCACUUGAACUUUAAUCCUUGCCUCGGAAUUGGCUUCUGGGGAAACCAAAAAUAUAUUAAAAAAAGAGAGACCAGGACCUUAAAAAGAGCCCAAGUUGUUGAGCUCCCUGCCAAGUCACCCCCAGGUAUCUCUGCCCACCAGCUUGCAUGAGCCAGAUCCUCAGUGCAGGUUUUUCCAAUCAGUCAUUUGUUCUUCCACCCAACGCUCAAGAUUUGCUUCUUCAAGACAACUCUCUGAUCAGCUGAGACCCAUAGACACCCAGCUUCUACCACACAUAUGAUGGCAUUAUCCUAGGGCAUGGCAGAGCAACGCAAGGGAAAACUCUGGGCCCCCAAGUGAUGUCAUGGAGGAGAACUCUCAACCCAGAACUACUACGUGAGAAACAACGCUCUCUCUUCUUUAAGCCAUAGGUGUGUUGGGAAUCUUUGUUACAGCAGCACGCCUGAUCUUUUGUUUUGUUUUGUUUUGUUUUAGAGAUGGAGUCUUGCUCUUUCGCCAGGCUGGAGUGCAGUGGUGCGAUCUUGGCUCACCAUGUUGGUCAGGCUGGUUUCAAAUCCCUGACCUCAAGUGAUCCUCCCACCUUGGCCUCCCAAAGUGCUGGGAUUACAGGUGUGAGCCACCGCACCCGGCCCAGCCAUGCCUUGUCUUAACUAGCAUAGCCGCCCAACGUCCACUUCUUUUGGCCAUGUUGUCCUGAUUCUGCUGGAGAAUCCCUUUCCCACUGCUCCCAGACCAGUGGUGUAGCUGACCUGCGCUCUCUCCACUCAAUUCAGGGGAGGGAGGGGUUUAGGCCUGGGCUAAGAGAGCUGCACAUUUCCCAGGGCACAGUGAUUAGUUGAGGGUGGGUCCCAGAGCCAAAUCUGCCCAAGAUCUUAGCCUGAAAGAGAAACCCUCCUGCUGAGUGACUGCACUGUGAGGCAGAAGUCCAGAGCUGUGGGUGGCCAUCCAGCCUCCAUUUGCGCCUGCCUGAGAAAGAAGCCACCAUGGGGGAAAUCGAGCUAAAAGACGGAGAGGGAGGUAAGAGAGGAUGACAUCACAUAAGCACCAGAUCUGGCCACCCCUGAAACUGGAACAACCCUAAGCUUUACAGCUACUACAUUCCCUUUUCUGCUGAAGUUGUUUUACACUGGGUUUCUGUCUCUUGCAACCAAGAGCUCUGUUAAAUAAAAACCUGACCCUAAGGAGAACGUUAGCUGGUUCACAAUUCCCUGUGCAAAACAGGCACAGGUCAGCUGCCCCAGCCUGUCGUUUGGAUAUUCCUUUCUAAGAACGCUCACUUUUGUUGUCUACAUGACCCAGAUAACCAAGGAGAAAGCAAAUCAACCGCCUUCCAGCGGCGCCUUCCUUGGCAGCAAGUGCUAAGAGAGAACACAAUGUGAGUACUCUGCCCUCUGGAGUCAGGGUUGAUCCUCAGCACUUGCUGUCCUGGGAGGCUGCACCUGUGACACUUGAGUGCCAGGUUCAACCCCUACUGCUGCUGCUGCUGCCUGAAUGGGGCCAUUUAGACUGUUGAGUGCUACAGCCUCAGCCCAGGAACCCGGAGCUUCACAUGAGGCAGAGCAGGGCCCCAGGGUCCCUGAAACUUGCCAGUUCAAACAGCAGAGGGGUGAGGACUCCCCAGUCAGCCCUGGUCUCAUACCUGCCUCUGCAUGGUCCCAGUCCAGCCUGAGGCCUUUGCUUUCUUUUUUGAAGGGAAGGUGAGGAGAGAGGGGGAAAAUAGAGGUGUUCUGACUAGACUUAGGAUUCCUGGCCUCUGCCUCUGACCGCCAGAGGACAGCCUCUGCAGUUGCCUCAUCUACUCAUGAAAACAGGCCUGUGACCCCAGGGGUGCUCUGAGGAUUCUUCCAGAAAACAUCUGCCCAGCUAGGACUACCUAGCUCACUGCCCAAAAAGGGUUCAUUUCCUUUCCUUCUGAAACAAAAGCGCUUAAUUGGAAGAGAAGCAUUGACUCAAGCUAUAGGAUAUGCCACUUAAAAUGUCCAGAUCUUGGCACAAGGCCUGGCGCACAGUGUGGGAGAGAAGGAGAGAAGAAGGUGGAAGGAAAGGAGGGAGGGGAAAGAGGAAGCAGGGAGGGAGAAAAUAAGACAAGGGCCUCCUCAUCUGGAUGCUUCCCUAGACCAAGAAGUGGCCCAGGUGGUGCCCAGGGGACAGGGAGUGGGCAAUAAAAGACAAUGGGGUGUAGGUGAUAGGGUGUAGAUGAUCAGGGUAUAGGUGAUCAGGAUGUAGGUGAUGGGGUGUAGAUGACUGGGGUAUAGAUGAUUGAAGUGUAGGUGAUGGGGUAUAGAUGAUCGAGGUGUAGGUGAUGGGGUAUAGAUGAUUGAGGUGUAGGUGAUGGGGUGUAGGUGAUGGGGGUCAAGGUGAUCAAGGUGUAGGUGAUGGGGUGUUGGUGAUUGGGGUGUAGGUGAUCAGGGUGUAAGUGAUGGGGUAUAGGUGGUGGGGUGUAGAUGAUCGGGGUGUAGGUGAUGGGUAUAGGUGAUGGGGUAUAGAUGAUCAGGUUGUAGGUGAUCGGGGUAUAGGUGAUCAGGUUGUAGGUGAUGGGGUGUAGAUGAUUGGGAUAUAGAUGAUCGAGAUGUAGGUGAUGGGGUAUAGAUGAUCAAGGUGUAGGUGAUGGGGUAUAGAUGAUUGAGGUGUAGGUGAUGGGGGUCAAGGUGAUCAAGGUGUUGGUGAUGGGGUGUUGGUGAUCGGGGUGUAAGUGAUGAGGUAUAGGUGGUGGGGUGUAGAUGAUUGGGGUGUAGGUGAUGGGGUGUAGGUGACGGGUAUAGGUGAUGGGGUAUAGAUGAUCAGGGUGUAGGUGAUUGGGGUAUAGGUGAGCAGGGUGUAAGUGAAGGGGUAUAGGUGGUGGGGUAUAGAUGAUCAGGUGUAGGUGACUGGGGUUUGGGUGAUGGGGUGUAGGUGAUGGGGUAUAGAUGAUUGAGGUAUCGGUGAUGGGGGUCAAGGUGAUCAAGGUGUAGGUGAUGGGGUGUUGGUGAUUGGGGUGUAGGUGAUUGGGGUGUAGGUGAUCGGGGUGUAGGUGACCAGGGUAUAGGUGAUCAGGGUGUAGGUGAUGGGAUGUAGGUGAUCAGGGUCAAGGUGAUUGAGGUGUAGGUGAUGGGAUGUUGGCAACCAGGGUGUAGGUGAUCAGGAUGUAGGUGAUGGGGUGUAGACGAUCAGGGUGUAGGUGAUGGGCUGUUGCUGACCAGGGUGUAGGUGAUCAGGGUGUAGGUGAUCCGAACUUCCUACUCAAUUCAGGCAACAGCUCCCAGCCUGAGGCAAAUACCCCCCGAGGCAGUCAGGGUCUCACCUCCCAUGGCUCUGACGCAGGCCUCCAAGGUGAGGAGAUGGAGGUAGCAGAGGUCACUUCACUCAGCUGUCACACACCCUGAGGGAACUCCUGUCACUGUUAUCCCACCUGCAAGUGAGGAGCCAGCAUUUCUCAUGCUCCAGGGUUGGCCACAGAGCCCAUUCAAGGGAGGGAGAAGAGCCUUCGGCCAGCGCAUCCUAACCGCAGAAAGCCAAGACCUCUGCAGAAAAAGAGACCAGGCCCAUAAAAAGAGAUCCAUGAGUUGAGUUCCCUGCCAUGCCACCCCCAGGCAUCUCUGCCCACCAGCCUGCAUGAGCCAGCCCCUCAGUGCAGGUUUUUCCAAUUGGCCGUUUGUUCUUCCACCCAACACUCAAGAUUUGCUUCUCAGCCUGGACAACAUAGCAAAACCCCAUCUCUACAAAAAAUACAAAAAUUAGCUGGGCAUAGUGGCACACACCUAUAGUCCCAGCUACUCGGGAGGCUGAAGUGGGAAGAUUACCUGAGCCUGGGAGGUCAAGGUUGCAGUGAGCCAUGAUCAUGCCACUGUACUCCAGCCUGGGUGACAGAGUGAGAACUUGUCUCAAAAACAAAAAAAGAGAGGAAGAUCUGCUUCUUCAAACCCACACAACUAAUAUAAAGUAAUCAACCUCCCCACCUCAAUAACCUGAAGUUAAACAUCACACAAUAAGCCCUGAACAGAGAGCUGUAGGUCAAUGUUCCAUUUUGCUUUUAAAAGCUUCACAAGAACAUUUCAUUUAUUAAAAUAGUUUCUGUAAACUCUUUCAGAAUAACAAAAUUCACUUGCCUUGCUUAAACAGCAUUUCAAGUAGAAGUAUUUUUAUUUCAAGGCACCAUAAAAUGAUGAUCUCUCUAAGAAAUACCUCUCCUUC